rnacentral:rRNA from 1 species
UACAGAGGGUGCAAGCGUUAGGCGGAAUCACUGGGCUUAAAGCGUGUGUAGGCGGAUCGUUAAGUACCUUGUGAAAUCCCACGGCUCAACCGUGGAACUGCUGGGUAUACUGGCGAUCUUGAGCCACCUAGGGGCGAGCGGAACAAGCGGUGGAGCGGUGAAAUGCGUAGAUAUCGCUUGGAACGCCAAUGGUGAAAACAGCUCGCUGGGGGUGUGCUGACGCUGAGACACGAAAGCCAGGGGAGCGAACGGG